GUGACUAGCUGUGUGAGCCGAGAUGAUGGCCAGGCUCGGUGUGUUGAUGCUGCUAGUGACCGCGGGGUUUAUGCAGCUGUUGCUGCUUUCCGAAGGCGCACCUCUUCCGGAUCCACAAUCAGCAGGAGGUUCUGCAAAGGAGCCAGACUUCCCAGUAACUCUUUUGCUGGUGGUUUCCGUCUCCGUGCUGGUGGCCUUUGUUGUGCUGCUGCUCAACUGUGUGACUUGCUGCAAAGAACGAGAGAUCAACUUUAAGGAGUUUGAAGACAACUUCGAGGAUGAGAUCGACUUCACACCUCCGGCAGAAGACACGCCCUCUAUGCAGUCUCCGGCUGAGGUGUACACCCUGGCUGUGCCACCAGUGCCAAUGCCUGGACCUCCGCACCUCCAGCUGCCCCGGAUAGCAGAUGUUUCGUCAGGCCCACAUGUAGCACGCCACACUCUCAGUUACAUUCAGGAGAUCGGGAGCGGCUGGUUUGGCAAGGUUUUACUCAGUGAGAUCUACUCAGACGCCAGUGUAGCCAGAGUGGUGGUCAAUGAGCUGAAAGCCAACGCCAGCUCCAAAGAACAAAAUGAAUUCCUUCAGCAGGGAGACCCGUACAGGGUCCUUCAUCAUCCAAAUAUCCUACACUGCCUGGGCCAGUGUGUGGAGGCCAUUCCUUUCUUACUCGUCUUUGAGUACAGUGAACUGGGGGACCUGAGGAGCUACGUCGCCCAGCACGCCUGGCUGUACAGAAACGGAGAGCUGCUGCAGCUGCAGAAGAUGGCUUGCGAGAUCGCUGCUGGACUUACUCACAUGCACAAGCACAACUUCCUGCACAGUGAUUUGGCAUUGAGAAACUGCUAUCUUACAACAGACAUGACUGUCAAAAUAGGAGACUACGGUAUCGGCCCUUCAAGGUUCAAAGAGGAUUAUAUCACUACAGAGGAGGACCAGUGUGUAGCGUUGCGCUGGCUUCCGCCCGAGCUAGUCGGUGAGCUGCAUGGAGGUGUGAUAACAUCAGAACAGACUAAACCCAGUAACGUUUGGGCAUUGGGUGUGACCUUGUGGGAGCUCUUUGAGGCAGGAGCGCAACCCUAUACGCAUCUAACAGAUAAAGAGGUCCUGCACCAUGUGAUCAGAGAUCAACAAAUCAAACUCCUUAAGCCUCACUUAGAUCUCCCUUACUCGGAACGAUGGUAUGAGGUGCUCCAGUUUUGCUGGCUGCCUGCAGAUAAAAGAGCCACAGCUGAGGAAAUUCACCGCUUACUGACAUACCUCAGGAUGCAGGGUCAGAAAGAAAUCGGAGACGACUUCGAGCAGCGGUGGAGCUCUCUUAAACCUAACCCUACCGCCCGCCAGACCACAGUCAGCCAUUCGUCCUUCCCCAUCCUAGAGCAGUUCGACGACGGACGGGAACCGGACGAGAUGCUCACCGUGACCGAGACGAGCCACGGGCUCAGUUUUGAGUACGUCUGGGAAGCGGCCAAGCACGACCACUACGACAGCCACAACCGCUCCUCCAUGGAAACCACCCUGAAUUACCACAGCAUGUUCUUUCCUGUGCCGCAGCAGGACAUUCAGGCUCGUUUUCCCGACACGAGAGUCGAAUCCGAUCCAGGAAGAAUACCAGGGACCUUGCCUGUCUUCGAUGCCCGAGAGGGCAACUCCAGGAACGAGUACUACAUUCAGUUAGAAGAGCACGACAGAAGUAAAUUGGGUGCUGAAGGAGCCGCUGCGUCAGACCAGGAGCAGUACGUCGUCCUGCAGGACAUCAGGCUAGACGAGUCUAGCACGGAAGCGGAUUUCUUCCAUCAGAGCAUAGACUCUAAGGAUUCUUUUCUACAGGACAGCCAUAUCUGGUCUUCAAGUGACCAUGAGAGUCCUUAUCAUGCUGAUAUCUUUAGCGAGAACGACUUAAAGUCUGAGGAGGCGCAUUCUUUUAGUCGUGGUUUGAUGGAGCUUCCAGAUUUUGGCUCAAACAGGAGCUGUUCCUUUAACGGUGACAGUGAGGGUACUCCUGUCGGGAAUAGAGAUACAGUAGGCGUGAUGACGUUUCUUAACUCCGAAAAGCUGGUCGACAACUACCUGUUUCUCAGCGAUAACAGGCUCAUGAAGGGGAGUCGGAAUUCGCAAGAAUCAGACGUGCAGCAAGCAGGUUCAUCACUAAAUCCCUUUGAUGUCGAUGCCUCGAAUGCAUUCAGCUUCACCGACGACUCCUCGAAAUCAGACGUUACCUCUACGCUGCUAAGGGAUGAAUUUUUGGACCUGGUGAGCCCAAUUUUAAAAGAUUUUUUAUCACCUUUAAACGAAGGUAAAACCCUGGUGCCUUCAGACAUCUUCUCAACGGAAGAAACCUGUAGCAACAAGACGCCCGAGAUGAACGGCUCUCUUAAUAGGGAAAACGCUGAUUUGGAUUCCUCGAAGGGUUGGAUUUCGUCUACUUCUGAGUCUACCUCUGAGGUUACUGUUCAGGAAGCAUGCAGUACCCAUCAGUUUAGUGAUAAAAGUGCCACCGCAGACGUUCUGCCCACAGACGACAAGCCGUCUGAUCUUGAAGAAAGCCUCAUAGUUUUGGAGAACGGCCAGCACUUCACCACAGGAACUGACUUUUCAGAGCCAGUAGAUAAAUCCGCGGAAGGAGUGGACAGCGGCAUAACCGAAGGCUUGACGAGCAGUGACUCCAUCACCGACAUGCUCUCAGAAGGCGAGCUAAGCAGAAAAAUGGACGACCAUUCAUUGCAAGACGACCUGGAUCAACCGGAAGCCUUUUUGGACAACCAUCUACCUGAUAUCAUGACAUCAGACUCUUGUUUGGACCAGAUCAGUCAGGACAGCCUUCUGGAAGACAGUGUUUCAUUCAGCAUACCAGCUGUCGAGAAAUCGGGAACACCCGAGACUCCUGAUUCGUUAGAUUUCCAGGAUAUGCAUCGGGACUUGGGAACUGACAAAUCGCAGCCGCCUUUGAUAACUCAUAAGCUCCAACCGCCGUACAAACCCGCAGAUAGCGGGUACGAAACUGAGAACGUCGAGUCACCUGAGUGGAACUCUCAACCAGACUCGGAGGAGGCAAGGACUACAGAAGAGGCAUCUGCGAUCUCGCAGGGUCCUCCGGAAAUCGUGGUGUCGGAUGCGGACCUGGUACCUGACGUUCAGGAAAACGGAGGUGCUCAGCAUCCAGAAGUUGGUGAAGCCCCAGCCGGUGGAAGCUAUCGAGAUUCGGCGUACUUUUCCGAUAAUGAAGAACUGGAUAAGAAAAGCGAUGACGUCAACGGAGGAACUCCUGCAGAUGUCUUAGCUUGGGAUGAGAGCUCUUCCGCAAGUGGGUCGACAGGAGGUGUUUCACUUCUACCAGAUGUUAAAGAGUCUGACAAUGGUGGUCAGCAAGACGAAUCUCCUGAUAUUGAUGACCUGUCCGGUGUCAAACCAGAGUUUGAACUCUCUCCAGAAGAGGACUGGGACGAAGUCAAGCCAGCGCCUGUCGAUCGCUCUAGGAAAGAGCAGAAGUUCGAAACGUCCUCUGACCUACAAGAUCUGAUUCACCCCGCUCCGUUCUCCGGACCUCAAGAAGCAACACCCUCUACCUCGCAGACUCCGUCAGCGGACAUUGUGGUCCAUGCUAAGCUCGUAAGGACUUACGCUGGAGAAGUCCCCAAGAAAAAGGAGCCGGACAUGGAAGGCCGAUAUCUCGGCAAGCUGGAUGGAGCCGCGGUGACCGGUGGCUCGGAAGACGGCGCGGAGGCCGACGAAGAGGACGAGAACAGCGAUGACUCGGACGAGGACAUGCGCGCUUACAGACUGCACAGCUCCAGCUCCGAAAGCGAGGACGACGUGGUGCAUCCGGUGCCCGUGAUAGUCUCGGACAGUAGCCACAGCUGCAACCUCAAGAGCCUGCUCAAACCCAAGUCCCUUCAGAUAGCCAAAUCUACAGCAACGGAGGAAAGUAAGGAGACAGAAAACAGGAGAUCGGUGUCCUUCUUCGAUGAUGUCACGGUUUACCUCUUUGACCAGGAAACCCCAACAAAAGAACUUGGAGAUCUCACGUUAGGCUCUAGCAGCCAGGUGUCCGAAUUUAGCAGCCCAGUGACUUCCUCCAGCUACCUUAACAGGUUCACCAACUCGGAAAGUUCCACAGAUGAAGAAGGCGGUGCGUUCGAGUGGGAUGACGACUUCUCUCCUGAUCCCUCCUUCCUUUCAAAAGCAGCCGGCGACCACUCCGCAGGCAAAGCCGCAGCGUCCUCGCACUACUUCUCGCCACCCCCUGCAUCUCGCACCUCUGAGUCGAGCUGGAGCUCCUCUACGUACUCCCGCUUCUCCAUCUCUCCGGCUAGCAUCGCCAGCUUCUCCCUCACUCACCUCACCGAUUCUGACAUCGAACAAGGAGGAAGCAGUGAAGAUGGAGAAAAGGAUUAAAGAUGUAUCAGAAGGAAUUAUAAAGUAUUUGGGCUGAAGAACACAUUUGAGACUGUGAAUCAUUCAUCUUAAGGACCGGUGAUUAUACUGCAGGUUUAGGACUAGAUCUAGGGUCUGACAAUGAUCUAAUAUGUGCAGUGAAGAGACUGGAGAAAGCCUGGAGAUCCUUAUCCAGAAUUUAUUAGAAGACAAGGAGAACAUCAAGGAACACAAAACACUUUACAGAGCUGCUUUUAUUUAACAGCGUUAUCCCAAACGGCUUGGCGGGACAGAAGCCGGACAGUUUCUUUGCUCAGCUGUUGCCAGAUAUUGGCUUUUUUUCACGGUUAUCAUUUUCCCAGAUGCUUUC